rnacentral:rRNA from 1 species
CGGGCCGAUGGUAAUGCCUCAGUAGCGGCGAGUGAAGCGGCAAGAGCUCAGAUUUGAAAUCGUGCUUUGCGGCACGAGUUGUAGAUUGCAGGUUGGAGUCUGUGUGGAAGGCGGUGUCCAAGUCCCUUGGAACAGGGCGCCCAGGAGGGUGAGAGCCCCGUGGGAUGCCGGCGGAAGCAGUGAGGCCCUUCUGACGAGUCGAGUUGUUUGGGAAU